CCAGGAUGUCCAGCGGGAGUGUGGAGAGACGCCCAUGUCUGGGUCUCUGAGUCCCUGGGAGGACUGGCUGGACUCCUAAUCUUAGAAUCCUACCUCAUAUGUAAUAGAGCUGGCACGUAAGGGAUCGCAGGCACCUCCUGAGCCCGAGUGCCAUCGUCUGGUGGCUUCAGUGGUGCCUAAGCCACCUGCUGUGCAGUUUGUCCCCCCAGGCACACGCCCAUCACCACUGUCAUGGUGACCCAGCCCUCCACAGCCACUCCCUGGCCACCACUAACCUGCUUCCUGGCUCUUCAGCGUCUUGCUCUGGACCUCGCUGUGCACGGCGUCCUAGACAGUGUGUCUUCUGUGACCGUCUCUGAACAGUGUUCUCCAGAUCGCGCCAGGUUGUGGUGUGUGUUCUGCCCUACGUGUCCCUUUCUUAUGAGUGAAUAAUGUUCUGUGUGGACAUACCACAUUUUGCCUGUGCGUUUGCCAGAUGGACAUUUGAGCUGGUUUCACGUUUUUACUGUUAUGAAUAAAGUGAGCACAAGU